rnacentral:rRNA from 1 species
UACGAGAGCCUCGAGCGUUAUCCGGAAUUAUUGGGCGUAAAGGGUGCGUAGGUUGUUCUGUUAGUCUUUUGUCAAAGCCCCGGGCUUAACCUGGGAAGUGCGAAAGAAACGGCAGAACUUGAAAGUGCGAGAGGUGUACGGAACUCAUGGUGUAGGGGUGAAAUCCGUUGAUAUCAUGGGGAACACCAAAAGCGAAAGCAGUACACUGGCGCAUAUUUGACACUGAAGCACGAAAGCGUGGGUAGCGAAUGGG